GAAAUGCGAUAAGUAAUGUGAAUUGCAGAAUUCAGUGAAUCAUCGAAUCUUUGAACGCACAUUGCGCCUGCCAGUAUUCUGGCGGGCAUGCCUGUUCGAGCGUCAUUUCAACCAUCAAGCCCCGCGCUUGUGUUGGGGACCUGCGGCUGCCGCAGGCCCUGAAAACCAGUGGCGGGCUCGCUGUCACACCGGGCGUAGUAGAUUUUAUCUCGCUCAGGGCGUGCUGCGGGUUCCGGCCGUUAAAAAGCCUUUUUUACCCAAGGUUGACCUCGGAUCAGGUAGGAAGACCCGCUGAACUUAAGC
rnacentral:misc_RNA from 1 species